rnacentral:rRNA from 1 species
UACGGAGGGAGCUAGCGUUGUUCGGAAUUACUGGGCGUAAAGCGCGCGUAGGCGGCUUUGUAAGUUAGAGGUGAAAGCCCGGGGCUCAACCCCGGAAUUGCCUUUAAGACUGCAUCGCUUGAAUCCGGGAGAGGUGAGUGGAAUUCCGAGUGUAGAGGUGAAAUGCGUAGAUAUCAGGAGGAACACCGGUGGCGAAGGCGGGUCUCUGGGCCGAUACUGACGCUGAGGAGCGAAAGCGUGGGGAGCGAACAGG